GUCUCCAGGGCAGGGGCCCCCAUUCAGCCUGUUCCCAUUGCCAGUGUGAGAUGCCCAGAUGUGGGGCACCCAGGCCUGGGAUGCCCAGGCAUGGAGUAUCCAGGUGGAGAAACAUGGGGCUAAAUGAUGAUCUUGAAAAGGGCCCUCACUCGUGAGCCUUCGCCAUGUGCCAGUCACUAUGCUGAGCACCUUGCAGGUCUUGCUGUGAUGACUGGAGCUGUGGCAGCCACCUUGUGACCAUGAGGGAAAAGCCAAGAGACUAGUUGAGAAGCCAACUGAGAGUUUUACCGCCAACUGAGAGUUUUACCUCCAUUGAGCUGCUGGAUUUGCCAACUCUA
rnacentral:lncRNA from 1 species